CUCACUCCACAGACAUUAUGACGGCGUCCAGAUCCUCCGCCAUUUUCCUACACAGAAGGUCAUAGGAGCGCAUCUCUGCAAAACACAAGCGAGGAAUCAUGGAAAAACUGUAGCAUGUUGUUUCCUGCGAUGGCUAUGACUGAUGCAAUAAGCAAUAAAUUAAUUGAUCAUGUAAUAAAUUAAA